rnacentral:rRNA from 1 species
AGAUUGAACGCUGGCGGCAUGCCUAACACAUGCAAGUCGAACGGGAGUAGCAAUACUCUAGUGGCGGACGGGUGAGGAAUACGUAGGAACUUGCCCUUAAGUGGGGGAUAACCCGGGGAAACCCGGAUUAAUACCGCAUGACCUCGAAAGAGCAAAGUGGGGGAUCGCAAGACCUCACGCUUUUGGAGAAGCCUACGUCGGAUUAGCUAGUUGGUGAGGUAAUGGCUCACCAAGGCGACGAUCCGUAACUGGUCUGAGAGGAUGAUCAGUCGCACCGGAACUGAGACACGGUCCGGACUCCUACGGGAGGCAGCAGUGGGGAAUAUUGGACAAUGGGCGCAAGCCUGAUCCAGCAAUGCCGCGUGUGUGAAGAAGGCCUUCGGUUGUAAGCACUUUAAGUAGGAAGAAAAACUACGACUACAACACAGUAGAGU